CCUGUCCCUGUCCCCCCUGUCCCAGGUGUGUCCCACCUGUCCCAGGUGUGUCCCCCCAUCCCUGUCCCCCCUGUCCCAGGUGUGUCCCCCCUGUGCUCACCUGAGCCUCUCUCUGCUGCCGUCUGUGGGGGCGUGGCCUUGGGGGCGUGGCCUUGGGUGACACAGGUGGGGGCGUGGCCUUGGCCCCACCCAAGGGGUGCUGCACAGGUGGGCGUGGCCACUGGGGUGGGGCAGCAGUGGGUGUGGCCCGGGGUGGGCGUGGCCUGACCCCACCCAAGGGCUGACCCAGGUGUGACCCCGAGGGUGACCCGGCUGUGGGCGUGGCCCAGGUGUGGGCGUGGCCAGCAGUGCUGUAAUUAAAAUCUCGUUAAUGAGC